AACGUAGGACACGAGCGUUAUCCGGAGUUACUGGGCGUAAAGGGCGUUCAGGCGGGUGAUUAAGUUCGCUAUGAAAGCGCCGGGCUAAACCCGGCGAGGCUGGCGGAUACUGGUCAUCUGGAGUGUGACAGAGGGAGGUAGAAUUCCGCGUGUAGUGGUGAAAUGCGUAGAGAUGCGGAGGAAUACCAGUGGCGAAGGCGGCCUCCUGGGUCUUAACUGACGCUGAAGCGCGAAAGCAUGGGGAGCGAACGGG
rnacentral:rRNA from 1 species